AACGUAGGUACCGAGCGUUAUCCGGAUUUACUGGGCGUAAAGCGUGUUCAGGCGGCCUGGCAAGUCGGGCAUGAAAUCUCUCGGCUCAACCGAGAGAGGCUGUCCGAUACUGCUGGGCUUGAGGACGGUAGAGGGUGGUGGAAUUCCGCGUGUAGUGGUGAAAUUCGUAGAUAUUCGGAAGAACACCAGUGGCGAAGGCGACUGACUGGACAAGUAUUGACGCUGAGGUGCGAAAGCGUGGGGAGCAAACAGGG
rnacentral:rRNA from 1 species